CCGAUUUUAGCGGACCUGAUCUCUGAUUAUGGUCUCGCGAAAACAUUGUAUUUAAAACCCCACUCUUAUAAAUUGAAUCAUUUUAUAUUGUAUAUAAAUAAAUAAAGA
rnacentral:misc_RNA from 1 species